rnacentral:rRNA from 1 species
AUUGAACGCUAGCGGCAGGCCUAACACAUGCAAGUCGAACGAGUGGCGGACGGGUGAGUAAUGUCUGGGAAACUGCCUGCUGGAGGGGGAUAACUACUGUACACGGUAGCUAAUACCGCAUACCAUCAGAUGUGCCCAGAUGGGAUUAGCUUGUUGGUGGGGUAACGGCUCACCAAGGCGACGAUCCCUAGCUGGUCUGAGAGGAUGACCAGCCACACUGGAACGGAGACGCGGCCCAGACCAAUCAGGGAGGCAGCAGUGGGGAAUAGUGUACAAUGGGAUCAAGCCUGGUGCAGCCCUGCCGAGUGGAUGAAGAAGGCCUUCGGGUUGGAAAGUAAUAUCAGCGGGGAGUCGUUACUAACAGAAUAAGCACCGGCUAACUCCGUGCCAGCCGCCGCGGUAAUAC